rnacentral:misc_RNA from 1 species
UUUCUUGAGCUUUUGGGCAGAGGUUCACUACAAUUCAAUAUAUCCAGAAGGAGAGCUACCUCCAGAAACUAAGAAAAAGAAGAAAUGGUGGAUAAUUUGAAGCUAAAUACAUUUAGCGGCAAAUCUCUUAUGAGGAGGGAUCUGUAUUAUUCCAUGGCUUGUGCAAUUUGGUGAACUGGGAAAGGAUGAAUAGGGCAGAUGGCAUUAGAGUGCUGUACAUAUCUGAUUUAACGCCCUUCAUCCGAUUGAUUGCAUUUUUUUUUUCAGCCAACUGCUCUAAUUAUUUGUUGAUUCUUUUCUUACCCAUUUGUUUUAUCAUUAUUGUAAAUAAUAGGUCGUAGACAGAUCACUAAUGGAACAAGAAUAAUAGUUGCUUGCAUUUUUUGCAUGGCAUUUGCCAUAUUGUUUGUUCUAUUGCAUUUCUACAUUUAUCCUGCAACAUCCGUACUGGAAAAAGAAUCAACAUCAGAGGAGCCAUUCCAAGGCUUUUUAUUUUUAUUU